UAAGACACUGGUAAAAAAGAAUAUCACACCGCCUUGUCGAGGCGGAGUCGUGGGUUAAACUCCCGCGUGUCUUACCC
rnacentral:tRNA from 1 species